AGGGAAUAUUCCACAAUGGGCGAAAGCCUGAUGGAGCAACGCCGCGUGAGUGAAGAAGGUUUUCGGAUCGUAAAACUCUGUUGUAAGGGAAGAACAAGUACAGUAGUAACUGGCUGUACCUUGACGGUACCUUAUUAGAAAGCCACGGCUAACUACGUGCCAGCAGCCGCGGUAAUACGUAGGUGGCAAGCGUUGUCCGGAAUUAUUGGGCGUAAAGCGCGCGCAGGCGGUCCUUUAAGUCUGAUGUGAAAGCCCACGGCUCAACCGUGGAGGGUCAUUGGAAACUGGAGGACUUGAGUGCAGAAGAGGAAAGUGGAAUUCCAAGUGUAGCGGUGAAAUGCGUAGAGAUUUGGAGGAACACCAGUGGCGAAGGCGACUUUCUGGUCUGUAACUGACGCUGAGGCGCGAAAGCGUGGGGAGCAAAC
rnacentral:rRNA from 1 species